ACGCACGCUGGCGGCGUGCUUAACACCUGCAAGUCGAACGGAAAGGCCCUGCUUUUGUGGGGUGCUCGAGUGGCGAACGGGUGAGUAACACGUGAGUAACCUGCCCUUGACUUUGGGAUAACUUCAGGAAACUGGGGCUAAUACCGGAUAGGAGCUCCUGCUGCAUGGUGGGGGUUGGAAAGUUUCGGCGGUUGGGGAUGGACUCGCGGCUUAUCAGCUUGUUGGUGGUGUAGUGGCUUACCAAGGCUUUGACGGGUAGCCGGCCUGAGAGGGUGACCGGCCACAUUGGGACUGAGAUACGGCCCAGACUCCUACGGGAGGCAGCAGUGGGGAAUAUUGCACAAUGGGCGGAAGCCUGAUGCAGCAACGCCGCGUGCGGGAUGACGGCCUUCGGGUUGUAAACCGCUUUCGCCUGUGACGAAGCGUGAGUGACGGUAAUGGGUAAAGAAGCACCGGCUAACUACGUG
rnacentral:rRNA from 1 species